rnacentral:rRNA from 1 species
AGAAUCAACGCUGGCGGCGUGCCUAACACAUGCAAGUCGAACGAGAAAGUGGAGCAAUCCAUGAGUAAAGUGGCGACCGGGUGAGUAACACGUGACUAACCUACCCUAGAGUGGGGAAUAACUUCGGGAAACCGAGGCUAAUACCGCAUAACAUCGCAGAGGGAAGCUCUUUGCGAUCAAAGGAGUAAUUCGCUCAAGGAGGGGGUCGCGGCUGAUUAGCUAGUUGGUGAGGUAACGGCCCACCAAGGCUAAGAUCAGUAUCCGGCCUGAGAGGGCGCACGGACACACUGGAACUGAAACACGGUCCAGACUCCUACGGGAGGCAGCAGUGGGGAAUUUUGCGCAAUGGGGGAAACCCUGACGCAGCAACGCCGCGUGGAGGAUGAAGUCCCUUGGGAUGUAAACUCCUUUCGAUCGGGACGAUUAUGACGGUACCGGAAGAAGAAGCACCGGCUAACUCUGCGCCAGCAGCCGC